CCAGCCAUAAACAGACAGCAAACCAACAAACUGUCCGCCAGAGAACUACUAGCAAAAAGCUUAAAACUCAAAGGACUUGACGGUGUCCCACAUCAACCUAGAGGAGCCUGUCCUACAAUCGAUAACCCACGCUUCACCCUACCUGCCCUCGCCCAAGUCUAUAUACCGCCGUCUUCAGCCUACCUAAUGAUAGCCCCAAGUAGGCACCACCACCACCCCCGUACACACGACAGGUCAAGGUGUAACUAAUGAGCAGGCAGAGAUGGGCUACAUUUUCUUCGCACCAAGAAAAAACCAACCGCGCAAUGAAACCACGCCAACAAGGAGGAUUUAGCAGUAAGCCUGAUAUAAACCAUGCCAGACUGAACUAUGCCCUGGGACG
rnacentral:rRNA from 1 species